UACGUAGGGUGCGAGCGUUGUCCGGAAUUACUGGGCGUAAAGAGCUUGUAGGCGGUUUGUCGCGUCGCUCGUGAAAAUUCACAGCUCAACUGUGGACGUGCGGGCGAUACGGGCAGACUAGAGUGCUGCAGGGGAGACCGGAAUUCCUGGUGUAGCGGUGAAAUGCGCAGAUAUCAGGAGGAACACCGGUGGCGAAGGCGGGUCUCUGGGCAGUAACUGACGCUGAGAAGCGAAAGCGUGGGUAGCGAACAGG
rnacentral:rRNA from 1 species